rnacentral:rRNA from 1 species
AGUGAACGCUGGCGGUAGGCCUAACACAUGCAAGUCGAACGGCAGCACAGUAAGAGCUUGCUCUUACGGGUGGCGAGUGGCGGACGGGUGAGGAAUACAUCGGAAUCUACUUUUUCGUGGGGGAUAACGUAGGGAAACUUACGCUAAUACCGCAUACGACCUACGGGUGAAAGCAGGGGAUCUUCGGACCUUGCGCGAUUGAAUGAGCCGAUGUCGGAUUAGCUAGUUGGCGGGGUAAAGGCCCACCAAGGCGACGAUCCGUAGCUGGUCUGAGAGGAUGAUCAGCCACACUGGAGCUGAGACACGGUCCAGACUCCUACGGGAGGCAGCAGUGGGGAAUAUUGGACAAUGGGCGCAAGCCUGAUCCAGCCAUACCGCGUGGGUGAAGAAGGCCUUCGGGUUGUAAAGCCCUUUUGUUGGGAAAGAAAAGCAGCAGGUUAAUACCCCGCUGUUCUGACGGUACCCAGAGAAUAAGCACCGGCUAACUUCGUG